CCUACGGGAGGCAGCAGUGGGGAAUAUUGGGCAAUGGGCGCAAGCCUGACCCAGCAACGCCGCGUGAAGGAAGAAGGCUUUCGGGUUGUAAACUGCUUUUAUAAGCGAGAAAUAUGAUGGUAACUUAUGAAUAAGGAUCGGCUAACUACGUGCCAGCAGCCGCGGUCAUACGUAGGAUCCGAGCAUUAUCCGGAGUGACUGGGUGUAAAGAGUUGCGUAGGUGGCAUAAUAAGUAGCUAGUGAAAUCUGGUGGCUCAACCAUUCAGACUAUUAGCUAAACUGUUAAGCUCGAGACCGUUAGGGGUAACUGGAAUUUCUAGUGUAGGAGUGAAAUCCGUAGAUAUUAGAAGGAACACCAAUAGCGUAGGCAGGUUACUGGGACGGUUCUGACACUAAGGCACGAAAGCGUAGGGAGCAAACAGGAUUAGAUACCCGUGUAGUC
rnacentral:rRNA from 1 species